AUUGAACGCUGGCGGCAGGCCUAACACAUGCAAGUCGAGCGAGCGGCGGACGGGUGAGUAAUGUAUGGGGAUCUGCCCGAUAGAGGGGGAUACCUACUGGAAACGGUAGCUAAUACCGCAUACUAUCGGAUGAACCCCUAUGUGAUUAGCUAGUUGGUGGGGUAAAGGCUCACCAAGGCGACGAGCCGUAGCUGGUUUGAGAGGACGACCAGCCACACUGGGACUGAGACACGGCCCAGACUCCUACGGGAGGCAGCAGUGGGGAAUUUUGGACAAUGGGCGAAACCCUGAUCCAGCCAUCCCGCGUGUAUGAGAAGGCCUUCGGGUUGUAAAGUACUUUUGGCAGAGAAGCGGUACCUGCAGAAUAAGCACCGGCUAACUACGUGCCAGCAGCCGCGGUAAUAC
rnacentral:rRNA from 1 species